rnacentral:rRNA from 1 species
AUUGAACGCUGGCGGCAUGCCUUACACAUGCAAGUCGAACGGUAACAGGUCUCCGGAUGCUGACGAGUGGCGAACGGGUGAGUAAUACAUCGGAACGUGCCUAGUAGUGGGGGAUAACUACUCGAAAGAGUGGCUAAUACCGCAUGAGAUCUACGGAUGAAAGCAGGGGAUCGCAAGACCUUGUGCUACUAGAGCGGCCGAUGGCAGAUUAGGUAGUUGGUGGGAUAAAAGCUUACCAAGCCGACGAUCUGUAGCUGGUCUGAGAGGACGAUCAGCCACAAUGGGACGGGGAAACGGCCCAGAAUACUACGGGAGGCAGCAGUGGGGAAUUUUGGACAAUGGGCGCAAGCCUGAUCCAGCAAUGCCGCGUGCAGGAUGAAGGCCUUCGGGUUGUAAACUGCUUUUGUACGGAACGAAAAGCCCUGGGUUAAUACCCUGGGGUCAUGACGGUACCGUAAGAAUAAGCACCGGCUAACUACGUGCCAGCCGCCGCCGUAACAC